rnacentral:rRNA from 1 species
GACGAACGCUGGCGGCGUGCUUAACACAUGCAAGUCGAACGGAAAGGCCCUGCUUUUGUGGGGUUCUCGAGUGGCGAACGGGUGAGUAACACGUGAGUAACCUGCCCUUGACUUUGGGAUAACUUCAGGAAACUGGUGCUAAUACCUGCUAGGAGCUCCUGCUGCAUGGUGGUGUUUGGAACGUUUCGGCGGUUGGGGAUGGACUCGCGGCUUAUCAGCUUGUUGGUGGGGUAGUGGCUUACCAAGGCUUUGACGGGUAGCCUGCCUGAGAGGGUGACCGGCCACAUUGGGACUGAGAUACGGCCCAGACUCCUACGGGAGGCAGCAGUGGGGAAUAUUGCACAAUGGGCGGAAGCCUGAUGCAGCAACGCCGCGUGCGGGAUGACGGCCUUCGGGUUGUAAACCGCUUUCGCCUGUGACGAAGCGUGAGUGACGGUAAUGGGUAAAGAAGCACCGGCUAACUACGUG